GGCCCUAAAUCCACAGCGGUCACAGGACGUCUCCUGGGGGCCCGCCGCAGCUUCGCAGUGAGGAUCCGGACACCGCAGAAUCCAGGUGCUGGCAGCGCGUCCGCGAGGCUGGGCCUGGCAGACUCUCUGCAGGCGGCGGCCCGGGCCCACCCUGCCUCGGGCUUUGCACAGGGCCGGCCACUCGGGGUCCGCGGUGGGCGACUCCGGGGGGGGACCACUACGCCCACCUGGGUCCCAGGACACCGUCUAACCCCGAGGCACUGGAAGGGCCGAGGCACCUCCGGGGACGCGCGCCCGCUCCCUUCGCGGGGCAAGGGCGACACCCAGUGGUGGUCGCGGGAAAUUGGGCGCGCGGCUUCCCCAGCGCGGGGCAGGCACUGGGGCCCUCCAACCCCCGCUGCCCUCUUCCCUCCCCUCCCUACUGCCCGGCUCCCAGCGCCCCCGCCCGCCCCGAGGACCCUCGCCCCGUUCCCAAGUUGCCAGCAGAGCUGCCGCCCCGGCUCCCUCUGCCCCGCAAAGGGGCAAACCCUGUCCAGGGCGGCACCCCGGCUCCUUCCCAGGGUCCACCGUCCAGGGGGCCCUGAAUACCGGGACUGCCACACACCUUUAACUCCAGUCUCGCCCCGGGGUGCUUGGCCCGGUUACCUGUGGGACUUCGCAGUAAACGCUGCUCCUGCCAGGCCAGCCCCUUCUCGCUGGGAAAAUCCGCCUCCCCAGCGCACUCGGAGGACCUGCGCUGUCAUCUCGCAAAGGACUCGCUCCACAGCUAAAAUCUGGAGCUGUCUCCACCCGCUGAGCCAGGACCACACCUGCUGCGGUGGCGAGCCUUGGAGGAGACCACCAUUCCCCAAACAGGAUACAGAACAUGCCAAGUUUCUGAUCGGCGUGUCCACUUCAAAGGCCACCGACAUCUCCCAGACUUGCGCUUUUCUAUGCGCCACUGUCGCCGUCGGUAGCGAGGCCUUAGGAAUGCCUUCCCAGGCACCAGGCAUAUCGAUAAGAACGUUACAUGCAUUUUCUCACUUUAUGCUCACACCAAACCUAAGAAGUUAG
rnacentral:lncRNA from 1 species